UCCCUGGUAGCUCAGUUGGUAAAGGACCUGCCUGCAAUGCAGGAGACCCUGGUUCAAUUCCUGGUUUGAGAA
rnacentral:tRNA from 1 species